CUGGCUACCAGUGGGGAAGGAUCUCUUCUGGAAAUCCACUCCACUGGAGUUUAUCAUGCAGGCCCAGGACAGGAGCACAGACAGAAGACUGCUUGUGUUGCUUUUCAGAGAAAACCAUGCGCUACAAAAGGCAUCUCAGUGGUGAAAACUGGGGGGAAUGAAUUGCUCAAGGCCCAGCUCCUGAAAGAAGUUCAAGACAUUAACCCAGCUGCAAUUGGUCUCCCUCUGUGAAAUUAUGGCAGAAGUUGCACCUCAGAUGGCUUUAUAUUUGCAUUUUUAUUAAAUAUUUAUUGUUUCUACUCCUGCAAGGAACCAUUACGUAGUAGACAUCCUAUAUAUUUUUAUAUUCCCAUUUUCUCCUAGUUUACAUGUGCUACUGCCUGAA